rnacentral:rRNA from 1 species
CAAGGAGGAGGCCGGUAGGAGCUGGCGAGUGAAGCCGAGCAAAAGCUCAAAUUUGAAAUCUGGCUCUUUCAGAGUCCGAGUUGUAAUUUGAAGAAGGUAUCUUUGGGUCUGGCUCUUGUCUAUGUUUCUUGGAACAGAACGUCACAGAGGGUGAGAAUCCCGUGCGAUGAGAUGAUCCAGGCCUAUGUAAAGUUCCCUUCGAAGAGUCGAGUUGUUUGGGAAUGCAGCUCUAAGUGGGUGGUAAAUUCCAUCUAAAGCUAAAUAUUGGCGAGAGACCGAUAGCGAACAAGUACAGUGAUGGAAAGAUGAAAAGAACUUUGAAAAGAGAGUGAAAAAGUACGUGAAAUUGUUGAAAGGGAAGGGCUUGAGAUCAGACUUGGUAUUUUGUAUGUUACUUCUUCGGGGGUGGCCUCUACAGUUUAUCGGGCCAGCAUCAGUUUGGGCGGUAGGAGAAUUGCGUUGGAAUGUGGCACGGCUUCGGUUGUGUGUUAUAGCCUUCGUCGAUACUGCCAGCCUAGACUGAGGACUGCGGUUUAUACCUAGGAUGUUGGCAUAAUGAUCUUAAGUCGCCCGUCUCAAC